AGAGAAAGUUCUUUGCUUGGAGUAUUAGAGAAAUCUCCAACUUAACUCAAAGAACAUAGUUAAUAAUUACCAGAAUUGAAUGUUAAAGGAAUCCUCAAUUGACUGAGUGCAGAGAUUGACUUGUGGGUAUAGACUCCUCAGGCCCAGCUUAAUUUUUUUGAUUUUCUUUGCUUUCAAGGAAAAAGAAGUCACCUCUGGACCCUCAACCUGGUUUCGUCUUUGCCCCAUAUCCCCAUGAACUUCCUUGUCCCCAGUUGACAGCCUCUAAGCCCCUGGCCUGUAGCUUUUCCCAGGCUUACCAUCCCAUCCCCUUCAGCUGGAACAAGCAGCCAAAGGAGGAAAAGUUCUCAAUGGUGAUCCUUGCCCGGGGAUCUCCAGAGGAGGCUCCUCUGCCCC